rnacentral:rRNA from 1 species
AUUGAACGCUGGCGGAAUGCUUUACACAUGCAAGUCGAACGGCAGCACGGGGGCAGCCCUGGUGGCGAGUGGCGAACGGGUGAGUAAUACAUCGGAACGUGCCCGGUCGUGGGGGAUAACGUAGCGAAAGGGACGCUAAUACCGCAUACGAUCUGAGGAUGAAAGCGGGGGACCUUCGGGCCUCGCGCGAUCGGAGCGGCCGAUGUCAGAUUAGGUAGUUGGUGGGGUAAAGGCCUACCAAGCCGACGAUCUGUAGCUGGUCUGAGAGGACGACCAGCCACACUGGGACUGAGACACGGCCCAGACUCCUACGGGAGGCAGCAGUGGGGAAUUUUGGACAAUGCGCGCAAGCCUGAUCCAGCCAUUCCGCGUGCAGGACGAAGGCCUUCGGGUUGUAAACUGCUUUUGUACGGAACGAAAAGGCUCUGGCUAAUACCUGGGGCUCAUGACGGUACCGUAAGAAUAAGCACCGGCUAACUACGUG